UACAGAAGCCCCGAGCAUUACCCGGAUUCACUGGGCGUAAAGGGUGCGUAGGCGGUCAUAUUAGUCGGGUGUUAAAUCCUGGGGCUCAACCUCAGGCUCGCAUUCGAAACGGUAUGACUAGAAGAAGUGAGAGGUGAACAGAACUCAUGGUGUAGGGGUGAAAUCCGUUGAUAUCAUGGGGAAUACCAAAUGCGAAGGCAGUUCACUGGCACUUUCUUGACGCUGAGGCACGAAAGCGUGGGUAGCGAACGGG
rnacentral:rRNA from 1 species